rnacentral:rRNA from 1 species
CGUGCUUAACACAUGCAAGUCGAACGAUGAACUUGGAGCUUGCUCUGGGGGAUUAGUGGCGAACGGGUGAGUAAUGCGUAGGAAGCUACCCGAUAGAGGGGGAUACCAGUUGGAAACGACUGUUAAUACCGCAUAAUGUCUACGGACCAAAGUGUGGGACCUUCGGGCCACAUGCUGUCGGAUGCGCCUACGUGGGAUUAGUUAGUUGGUGAGGUAAUGGUUCACCAAGGCAACGAUCCCUAUCUGGUUUGGGAGGAUGAUCAGCCACACUGGAACGUAGACACGGUCCAGACUCCUACGGGAGGCAGCAGUGGGAAAUAUUGGAGAAUGGGCGAAAGCAUGAUCCAGCCAUGCCGCGUGUGUGAAGAAGGCCUUCGGGUUGUAAAGCACUUUCAGUAGGGAGGAAGAGUUGAGUGUUAAAAGUACUCAGCUUUGACGUUACCUACAGAAGAAGCACCGGCUAACUCUGUGCCAGCAGCCGCAGUAACAC